rfam:Salmo salar isolate Sally breed double haploid chromosome ssa25, whole genome shotgun sequence.
UCCCGUGUGGCUCAGUUGGUAGAGCAUGGUGUUUCCGACACCAGGGUUGUGGGUUCAAUUCCCACGGGAG